rnacentral:rRNA from 1 species
GACGAACGCUGGCGGCGUGCUUAACACAUGCAAGUCGAACGGAAAGGCCCUGCUUUUGUGGGGUGCUCGAGUGGCGAACGGGUGAGUAACACGUGAGUAACCUGCCCUUGACUUUGGGAUAACUUCAGGAAACUGGGGCUAAUACCGGAUAUGAGCUCCUGCUGCAUGGUGGGGGUUGGAAAGUUUCGGCGGUUGGGGAUGGACUCGCGGCUUAUCAGCUUGUUGGUAGGGUAGUGGCUUACCAAGGCUUUGACGGGUAGCCGGCCUGAGAGGGUGACCGGCCACAUUGGGACUGGGGUACGGCCCAGACUCCUACGGGAGGCAGCAGUGGAGAAUAUUGCACAAUGGGCGGAGGCCUGAUGCAGCAACGCCGCGUGCGAGAUGACGGCCUUCGGGUUGUAAACCGCUUUCGCCUGUGACGAAGCGUGAGUAACGGUAAUGGGUAAAGAAGCACCGGCUAACUACGU